UACGUAGGUGGCAAGCGUUAAUCGGAAUUACUGGGCGUAAAGCGCGCGUAGGCGGCUAUUUAAGCUAGAUGUGAAAGCCCAGGGCUUAACCUUGGAACUGCAUUUAGAACUGGGUAGCUAGAGUACAGCAGAGGAUAGUGGAAUUUCAGGUGUAGCGGUGAAAUGCGUAGAGAUCUGAAGGAACAUCAGUGGCGAAGGCGACUGUCUGGGCUGAUACUGACGCUGAGGUGCGAAAGCGUGGGGAGCAAACAGG
rnacentral:misc_RNA from 1 species